rnacentral:rRNA from 1 species
GUAAAACUUUCAGCGACGGAUGUCUUGGCUCCCACAACGAUGAAGAACGCAGCGAAAUGCGAUACUCUUGCGACUUGCAGAAUCCAGUGAAUCAUCAAAACUUUGAACGCAUCUUGGGCUUCCGGGAUAUUCCUGGGAGCAUGCUUGUUGGAGUGUCUGUU